AUGCUCCACCGGCGGCACCCCCUCCCCGCCCUGCUCCGCCUCUUCUCCACCACCUGCCGCCGCCGCUCCCGCCUUCCCUCGCAGCCGCAUCCCCCGAACACCGACACCCUCCCGCCGCUGCCUGUGGCGAAGAAAGUCCCCUUCACCGUGUCGGCGCACGGGAGGUCGUGGAGCGACCCCUACCACUGGAUGCGCGACACCUCCGACCCCGACCUCGCCGCCCUCCUCGCCGCCGAGAACGCCUACGCAGAAGCCUUCGUCUCCUCGGCCGGCGGAGGCGGCCUCCGCGCGCGCCUCGCUGCCGAGAUGCGCGCCCGGCUGCCCCCUUCCGCCGUUUCCCCGCCUCAGCCCUGGGGCCCUUGGUCAUAUUACCAGUACGUGCCAAACGGAAUGGAGUACCCAGUUUUGUCGAGAAAGCUGAGGCCCUCUGGUGGUUUAGCAGGACGUUUCCUUAGUUAUCUUUCUGACUGGGAGAAGGAAGAAGUGUUGCUUGACUGGAAUGAGAUCGCAGAGAAAUUUGGUUAUGUUCACAUUGGGAGUUGUCGAAUAUCUCCUGAUCAUAGGUUUCUUGCAUAUACUCUCGAUACAUCUGGGGGUGAACUGUUUUCGCUGGAAGUGAAAGAUCUUCAGUCUAAGCAUGUCAUUUUUAGUCCGCCAGACAAGGGAAUUGUCAGUUUAGCAUGGGCUCACGACAGUGAAAAUUUAUUUUAUACUGUCUGUGAUGAGACUCUACGUCCCAAUCAGGUUUUCUGUAAAAAGAUGCAGUCAAAUGAGGCCGGCCUUUUAGUUUUCGUGGAGGAUGAUGUAAACUGUUGUGUGGAUAUCACAAGCACAAAAGAUUUCAAGUAUAUCACUGUGAAUUCUAACACAAGGACAUCAUCUGAGGUUUAUGUGAUGGAAUCUGGUAAUGUAAGAGAAGGCUUAUGGCCUGUACAAAAACGCACCAACAAAGUACAGUACUUUUUGGAGCAUCAUAAUGGGUUUUUCUAUAUUCUUACUAAUGCACCCUUGAAAGAUACUGAAACUGCAGUUGAAGGCUACUACCUGGCCAGGUGUAGAGCUGAAAAAUCACUGAUGGAUAAAUGGCAGGUUGUGGCACUCCCUGGGUCGGACUGCACAUUUCAGGAUAUGGAUAUUUUUCACGAACAUUUAGUUCUCUUUCUUCAAAAAGAUGGGCUUCCUCUGUUUUGCUCCAUCGAUUUGCCAGUCCAGAUCGACUUUCAGGAGCCAAAGGAAUUGGGUGAUUUCACUCCAUGGUUUUUCCCAAUACCUUCAAAUUUAUGCAGCAUUCUUCCUGGGCCCAACAAUGAUUUCAUGUCAUCUACUUUUCGUCUGGUGGUGUCAUCACCAGUGAUUCCAGACUUAACUGUGGAUUAUGACAUGAGAAAGAAGACAUUUACUAUCCUUGAUCAAGAGGAAGUGACUGGCCUUUGUUCAAGUCUAUACACAGUAGGACAAUCCAAUGUUUCAAGCAUCCAACAAAAUCUGCAGCUUAUUGAAGAUUCACAAAGUUGGAGUGAUCUUUCCAAGUUAGUAUCUUGUGAGAGGGUCCAAGUUGUUUCACAUGAUGGUGUCUCGAUACCUUUAGUGAUCUUGUAUUCACGGGGAGCUCAUAUUCAUGGAGAAUCGCCUGGGAUCUUAUAUGGAUAUGGAGCUUAUGGAGAAGAUCUGGAUAAAAGCUGGUGUUCUGACAGGCUUAGUCUGCUUGCUCGAGGUUGGGUUCUUGCAUUUGCUGAUGUUAGGGGUGGAGGGGAUCCAUCAUGGCAUCUAGCAGGCACCAAAACCAACAAGAUAAAUUCAAUUCAAGAUUUUGCGGCAUGUGGUAUGCAUCUUAUCAAGGAAGGUUUUGUGCAUGAAAGUCGUCUUUGUGCUAUGGGCUGCAGUGCUGGUGGUUUGCUGGUUGGGGCGGUCGUUAAUAUGUUGCCAAAUUUAUUCUCUGCUGCAGUUCUCAAGGUCCCCUUUCUUGAUAUAUGCAAUACAAUGUUGGAUCCUACGUUACCUCUCACCAUCUUGGACUACGAAGAAUUUGGUGACCCUAAUAUCCCAGUUGAAUUUGAUGCAAUCCGUAGUUAUUCUCCCUAUGACAACUUAUCUCCCGGCAAAUGUUACCCCUCAAUUCUGGUGACUGCCUCUUUUAAUGAUACAAGGGUAGGAGUCUGGGAAGCUGCUAAGUGGGUUUCAAAAGUGAGAGAUGUCACGUGCCCAUCCUGUUCCAAGUCUGUUGUUCUCAAAACUAAUAUGCAGAGUGGCCAUUUUGGUGAGGGUGGACGCUUCAUGCGGUGCGAGGAGACAGCCUUCGAGUAUGCGUUUCUAAUGAAGGCAUUGGGAAUGGAUGAUAAGUCUGCGAAGUAA
rnacentral:rRNA from 1 species